rnacentral:rRNA from 1 species
UACGUAGGUGGCAAGCGUUGUCCGGAUUUACUGGGCGUAAAGAGCGCGCAGGCGGCUGGUCAAGUCCGAUGUGAAAUCUCCCGGCUUAACUGGGAAACUGCAUCGGAAACUGAUCGGCUUGAAGGUGGGAGAGGGUAGUGGAAUUCCCGGUGUAGUGGUGAAAUGUGUAGAGAUCCGGAGGAACACCAGUGGUGCAAACGGCGCCCUGGGUCCGAACUGACGCUGAUGCACGAAAGCGUGGGGAGCGAACGGG